rnacentral:misc_RNA from 1 species
GAUGAAGGACGUAGCGAAAUGCGAUACUUGGUGUGAAUUGCAGAAUCCCGUGAACCAUCGAGUCUUUGAACGCAAGUUGCGCCCGAAGCCAUUAGGCCGAGGGCACGCCUGCCUGGGCGUCACACGUCGUUGCCCCCCCCAUCUACUCCUUCGGGAUUGCGGGGGGCGGAUGAUGGCCUCCCGUGCGCCUCGCCGCGCGGUUGGCAUAAAUGCCAAGUCCUCGGCGACGCACGCCACGACAAUCGGUGGUUGCGAAACCUCGGUUGCCCGUCGUGUGCGGUCGUCGCGCAUCGAGGGCUCGAAAAAAUUGCCGGGCUCCGGCUCGGCUUUCAACGCGACCCCAGGUCAGGCGGGGUUACCCGCUGAAUUUAAGCAUAUCAAUAAGCGGAGGA